AUCAGGAUGGCCGAGUGGUUAAGGCGAUGGUCUCAAGAUCCAUAGGACAUUAGUUCUCGUGGGUUCAAACCCCACUCCUGGUA